CGCUGGCGGCGUGCCUAAUACAUGCAAGUCGAACGGUCUUUCUAUGGAAGCUUGCUUCCACUGAGAAGAUAGUGGCGAACGGGUGAGUAACACGUGGGUAACCUGCCCAUAAGAGGGGGAUAACAUCCGGAAACGGGUGCUAAUACCGCAUAGUUUUCUUGAUCGCAUGAUUGAGAAAGGAAGACGGCCUUUGUGCUGUCGCUUAUGGAUGGACCCGCGGCGUAUUAGUUAGUUGGUGAGGUAACGGCUCACCAAGACGAUGAUACGUAGCCGACCUGAGAGGGUGAUCGGCCACAUUGGGACUGAGACACGGCCCAAACUCCUACGGGAGGCAGCAGUAGGGAAUCUUCCGCAAUGGACGAAAGUCUGACGGAGCAACGCCGCGUGAGUGAAGAAAGGUUUUCGGAUCGUAAAACUCUGUUGUCAGAGAAGAACAAGUUGGAGAGUAACUGCUCCAGCCUUGACGGUAUCUGACCAGAAAGCCACGGCUAACUACGUGCCAGCCGCCGC
rnacentral:rRNA from 1 species